rnacentral:siRNA from 1 species
GUGGAAGCCGGAAGCCAACCAUC